CCUACGGGGGGCAGCAGUAGGGAAUUUUCCACAAUGGGCGAAAGCCUGAUGGAGCAACGCCGCGUGGGUGAAGAAGGUCUUCGGAUCGUAAAACCCUGUUGUUAGAGAAAAAAGUGCGUGAGAGUAACUGUUCACGUUUCGACGGUAUCUAACCAGAAAGCCACGGCUAACUACGUGCCAGCAGCCGCGGUAAUACGUAGGUGGCAAGCGUUAUCCGGAUUUUUUGGGCGUAAAGGGAACGCAGGCGGUCUUUUAAGUCUGAUGUGAAAGCCUUCGGCUUAACCGGAGUAGUGCAUUGGAAACUGGGAGACUUGAGUGCAGAAGAGGAGAGUGGAACUCCAUGUGUAGCGGUGAAAUGCGUAGAUAUAUGGAAGAACACCAGUGGCGAAAGCGGCUCUCUGGUCUGUAACUGACGCUGAGGUUCGAAAGCGUGGGUAGCAAACAGGAUUAGAUACCCGAGUAGUC
rnacentral:rRNA from 1 species